rnacentral:rRNA from 1 species
UACGUAGGGUGCAAGCGUUAAUCGGAAUCACUGGGCGUAAAGCGUCUGUAGGUGGUUUAAUAAGUCAACUGUUAAAUCUUGAGGCUCAACCUCAAAAUCGCAGUCGAAACUAUUAGGCUAGAGUAUAGUAGGGGUAAAGGGAAUUUCCAGUGGAGCGGUGAAAUGCGUAGAGAUUGGAAAGAACACCGAUGGCGAAGGCACUUUACUGGGCUAUUACUAACACUCAGAGACGAAAGCUAGGGUAGCAAAUGGG